AUCUAUGCGUCUCGGAUGUUCGUGCUUCCGUCGGUGACUAAUGCCCCUCUUCUGCGCCUUCGGUGUUGUGGAGGCGGCCUAGGGUUUGGGGGAGCGUUGAAUCUCGCCGCCCUCGGAGGGGACCGUACGUGGGGGAAGCCAUCGGCGGCGCGUCGACCGGCGGGAACGGAUGCCGCCUAAGUCCUUCCGCCACGCUCCGCGCUGAAAGGCUCGAUUCUCCUACAUUUCCUCUGUUGUCUUCUGUGUUGAGAUGAGUUCCAGAUCUACGCGUCUCGCUUGUUCGUGCUUCCGUCCGUGACUAAUGCCUCUCUUCUGCGCCUUCUUGGGGUCUCUGAAGCUGUGUCCUCCUGUGCGCCGCUUGCGGGUACCUGCUUGCCUCUGCUUCCUGAGUCGGGGUCGUGGUGGUCUGAAUCAGUCUUUAGAUGGAUCCUCCUGCUUCGUCGCGCCGUCGUUGCAGGGAGUCUAUCAUUCCCGGUGGCAGAAAUGUACGUCCUAGGUGUCCUGCACCUGAUCUGGUAAGUUCACGGCGCCGGCGUCGAGAGGCUGCAGCUGAAGCCACUCUAGCGGCUCGUGUUGAUGCUGGUUGCGGUAGGAAUGGAUGCAUUGGGCUGUGAUGAUGAAAAGGCAACUGGCAUGCUCAUCAGUGAAACUAAGGAACACAUGCUAGCAUCGCUUUAGCUGCACGAUUGCUUCAGUUAAACAAACAACAACAUGUUUUUGGAUUCUGCUCCCUCCAGCAAAAAAAAAACUAUACAAUCUAAUGCAGGUACGCCGUGGUGUUUACAUUCCACGCCGUUUCAUCCUCAACCAAGUUAUGGAUGCUCUGAAACUCAAGGUGCAUAGCUCAGCCUAUGACUCCACCUUCGAAGCCCUCGGCAUGGAAACAACAUGGAUGCAUGUUGAUCUACCUUGUGGAAACCAGCCCGGAUCAGAUUCGACCACUGUCAUCUUUGGUACUCCACAGGCAUCUCAUAGUGAAGCUGAUGAAAGUGCAUGCCAGGCAGUGCUCAACUACUACUCCAAUGCUAGAGAUGUGAAGAUCGACGACUACAGUCACAGUGCUCUCAAAAUGAAACAAGAACAGCUGGAUGCAAGCAAUUUUUUCUGCAAUGCCAUGCAGGACAAAAUGGUUCGCCUUGUGCUAGAAUGUGAUGCUGCUCUCAAUGCUGUUCAGGACUACAAGCAGAGCAAUGAUAUGAAAAUCCAUACUUUGAGUGAGACCUUAAUCAAGAAGAAACAAGAUGAACUCAACAAUGAUUUCUUCUAUGAGAUCCUACAAGACAAGGUUGAUUUACUUCAAGACAGGAAUAUUCAGAAGGACCGCUACAACCUCAUGGUGCAUGACAUUGCUUCCAUCUGUGGCCAGUUCCAUGACCUGCUCCCGAUUAAAAAAAUUCAGCCUGAUCAGAAUAUCUCUGAGUACACCGAGACUGGAUUCGUUUUUGUUGGCAACAAAAACAAUCCAUCUCGCAUUGACCAGCUAGCUUUGGCUCUCCUGAAGAUUCUACAUGAUGGAAUCGUCAAUGAGGCCAAGCACGCUGCUACUCCAUUCUGAAGAUAUGAGCCUUCAGGCCACUGUAUAUAUCAGCCUACUACUAUUAGCAGUGCCUUAAAAUCACGGAAGCUCUAGCAGACUCUACACCUAUCAAUGGAUUCUUUUGCGUUGUUUACCAUUGAGCGCUAGUGAUUAUGGUAGACCACUUACUUUUGACAGUUGCCAUUGCCACAUACUCUGACGGCAACACCCACAGCAGCAUUCUUUUGGGUGUCCCACCGUGACACACACGCUUGCAACAAUCAGCGAGAAUAUGCUUCAGAGGAUAGCUUACACACAACGCCUUAGAAACCAGCUUGGAAAUCAUGAAGAUACACCUGCAGUGAAGCCACUAGCUCAGCUUCUCAGUGCUAAAUGGCUCACAAUAGGGAUCUGCACAAGCAAACUUCCUGGUUUCGACUUUGUGUGUAUUUGGAUGACCAGCUUUUGGGUUCCAGCUUGGCUUAUGAACCUGUGUACUCUAUCCUAGCCCGUGUAGUGCAUCGGCUCAGGUGUACCCCUUAGUUCAGGCUACCAAGUGCUGACUUCUGUGAUGCUUUUGAAGCUGCAAACUAAACCUUAGCAAUCAAAAGUGCCCUUUAUGCUA